GACGUAGGAUGCGAGCGUUGUCCGGAUUUAUUGGGCGUAAAGAGCGUGUAGGCGGCCAGGUAGGUCUGCUGUGAAAACUCGAGGCUCAACCUCGAGACGUCGGCGGAAACCAUCUGGCUAGAGUCCGGAAGAGGAGAGUGGAAUUCCUGGUGUAGCGGUGAAAUGCGCAGAUAUCAGGAAGAACACCCGUGGCGAAGGCGGCUCUCUGGGACGGUACUGACGCUGAGACGCGAAAGCGUGGGGAGCGAACAGG
rnacentral:rRNA from 1 species